GAUGAACGCUAGCGGCAGGCCUAAUACAUGCAAGUCGGACGGGAUUGUGGAGCUUGCUUCACAUGAGAGUGGCGCACGGGUGCGUAACACGUAUGUAACCUACCCUUGUCAGGGGGAUAGCCUCUCGAAAGAGAGAUUAAGACCGCAUAACAUUGUUUUGUGGCAUCACAGAACAAUCAAAUAUUUAUAGGACCAGGAUGGGCAUGCGGAACAUUAGCUAGUUGGUAAGGUAACGGCUUACCAAGGCUACGAUGUUUAGGGGAUCUGAGAGGAUGGCCCCCCACACUGGUACUGAGACACGGACCAGACUCCUACGGGAGGCAGCAGUAAGGAAUAUUGGUCAAUGGGCGGAAGCCUGAACCAGCCAUGCCGCGUGCAGGAAGACGGCCCUACGGGUUGUAAACUGCUUUUACAGGGGAAUAAACCUCGGUACGUGUACCGAGCUGAAUGUACUCUGAGAAUAAGGAUUGGCUAACUCCGUGCCAGCAGCCGCAGUAA
rnacentral:rRNA from 1 species